GAAUAGCCGAACAGGAAUUUGAAUUAUUGUUAAUAAUGCGAUUAUUAGAAUCAGAUGUUAUAUAAUCAUCAAGAUGACCAGAAAAUUUUGAGUUGAUUUCUCAGUCUCUAGGACAGUCAAAAAUCGAUUGGUUGUUAUGUGCUCAACUGUCACGAUUGAAGAGAUUCGAAAGGUUAAAUAAAUCAGUAAAAACUAACCACUGAUAUGAACAGCAUAAACAGCUGGAACUAAUGAAUAACAAAAAUGUAACCCGGGUCAAUGAUCAGGCGUACUCACCCAUCAUGAGACGAACAGCUUUACUUCGCCCUCCUCAUGUUGACCAAUAUAACGGGCUUUACUAAGCUUGCGUAGAUGUCAUACGCCUCCUUUCGAUAAUUAAUUCGCCGGACAUCCUCUCAUAAUAAUUUAUGGCAUAUGACAAUAAAUAUUAAUUCUUAGCUCAUCUAUUUUUUUGUAAAGGAAAACAAUUCUUCAAUAUUUGGAAAUUACAUAAAUGAGAGACUAAGAACAUAACCAAAGGCCACUGCUCACAGUCGCAAUAACAAAUGGUUAUAAUUACUUUCAUGAGCGCAAGUGGAAUAUUUGCCCAUAUAAAUAUAUAUAUCUUCUUUAUAUAUAAAUAUGUUUGUCAUGCUUGGCUAACGGAUUGGUGAUCAAUGCUUAGCCAAAUCCAUAAAAUUGUGAAAAACGGUCGUAUGCAACUUUUUUGUUUACCAUUCGAUCAAACUUAUCUUCAAAGAUCUUCCCUUAAAUUCAUUUGUGGUGUCACACACUUUUCGUAAAAUCCACACUCUUGGAUGAUAAAUACUGGAAAUGGGUGAAAAAGUUAUACCUAAAAUUUGGAAAACAAAACUUGACACGUGCAAAGUCGUGGAAUACCCUGUAGUAUAUACAUGUAUGCAUAAGUUAAAUACCCCUCGCCGGGUUUUCUUUGCAAACAUUCUACAUACACAAUAUCAAACAUACAAAUGCACUCGUGCACGGGUGUUGCUUGAAACACAGUUUACAAUGCAAUUGGGCAUAUUAUGUGUUCGUGAUUAACUUCAGAGUUAUAGCCUCUGUCCACUGAACACAUUUCUGAAAAUGUCAAAUUUUUGCAAAAUGUGUAAAAUGCGGCCUGUGCGUUUUCCCAUAAGAAAACAUAUUUCACACAUUUUUUAAAAGUGUCACAUUUCUGAAAAAUGUGUAAAUUCGGCCCGAACAUUUUUUUUUUUGCGAUGAUUAGUCGAAAUUUCUAUCGAUGUUUUGAAAAUGUGGAAGUAUUUUAACCGUAAACAGGUGGCAUAUCACCGAAGGCAAGCGGCAACUUUAAAUAAGAAAUUUAAAUAUGUGAAAUUUCAAAAUGUGACAUUUCUUAAGCCAGUGGACAGAGGUUAUUAGCUUCAUGUGUGUGUUUAUACCAAAUAUAUAAGCCUAUUUACCAUAGUUUCCGUCAUUAUAUUAGAGGUGGCACAAGAAUUGACAAGAAAUUAUGAAUUAGAGGAGAAUUUAUAUUUUUAAGUUUGUUUUAGCUUUUGUAAUUUCAUAAAUUGACAUACAGACAUGACUAGAUCGAUUCAGCCCGUAGUUCUGAUAAAGCGAAUAUAUAACUUAUGGGGUCUAUCUUGCUUAAUCCUAACUGUUACGUUGACUAACACAAAACGUGGUAUUUUUAUCCAUUGGAUAAAUGUAAUCGGGAUAUGUGUCUAGGCUAUAAGGUUAAACAAACAGAAGGUGUCUCAAGACCGCAUAUGCCAACAACAGCUGAAUGACGCAGCAUAGCGAUCAAAGAAAUUUAACAGCAUUAAAAUCUAGAGCCUACGUCGCCACAAGCGAUUUUUAUAAUUUUUACUAUACUUUUUUUUUUAUAAGUUAAUUUGUUUAUACUUUGCCUUACUAGCUUAACCUCUAUACAAUAUUGGGAAAAACAUCCUUAGCAUUAAUUAUUAAGUCUUGUACGUUGUUUUCAUUGUUUCGGUUAACCUAUAUCCAACUACCCGGUUUGGGAGAUCGAUGGGAUCCUGCGAGGUCUUCCUCGUUUUCUUCUGAAUAGCUUUCUUUCCAGGAUAUAAGGGUGAACAGAGAGGCGGGCCACGCACCUGGUGAACUGCUGUCGUAAGAGGUCGCUUACUAAGAGAACCUUAAUUUCCCUUGCCAGGGCCCGGUCCUCCAAGGUGCCCCUGUAAUUAGUCUGAAAUCCUUGGCAGUGGUUGCGACAUGCUUUUUAGCUUAGAAACAAUAAUCGCCUGCCAACGUUGCGACAAAACAAAUUAAAAUUGAAAAAAAAAAAAAGCAAUACUAGAGCCUAGCUAUUGAUAGAGGUAAAUAUUCAACAAACAAUGCUGCAGACAACAAUUAAACUCGCCCCCAGCGAGUGAAAUUUGACUACUAAAUUCUUCGCAAUCGUGUGAUACCAAAGACAAUAUAAACCCUAAGAUGAAUAACGCCGAUACAAUUGAAUGAUGUUGACACGAGCCAAGAAGUUAGUCGCCAGCCUGUCUUCAGCAAAGCUGGUCGAUGGUAGUUUGCGUCGCUUUGUUUUCGAAGAACAUUGAGUGAAAAAGUUUUGAACUUACGAUAGACGCAUAGUACUUUUGCUUUAUCCAAUAAAUGCCUGCUUUAUUUGAAUGAUACAUAACCCUCGACACUAAUGAUAAUUUUUACAGGAAUAUUUAAAAGUGAAAUAAUUGUAUUACAGAGUGCUCCUUGUGCAAUGACUAUGGUCAGAAAAUAGUACAAAUAUGUUGAUUUUACUUUUGUUUUUGGACUGUAUAUGCAGGAGAGAAGUUCUUGCCUCAUCCAAUGACGUGCAUACACCUUAUUUGUAUGUGUGAAUUAUGCAUGCAUAAGUAAAUUAAAAUAUCUAUAUACAUUUGUGCUGUUAAUCACUAGUCUCGUUUUCGCUGGUAAAGUAAUACAUUUUGUUAGUAUUCUAGCGCUGAUCAUUACCUAUCCCAAAUUUGUAUUCACAUAUGUACUAAGAUUGGCUUGGUGGAAAAUCUGUAUUUUUAAGUCGAUGCAAAUAUUUAAAUAAUUUCUUUAAACUUCAUUUAAAAGUCAUAGUUCUCCAGAGAAACUACAGAUUAAACUAACAACUACUUUAGGAAUCAAAUUGUAAUUGAGGUAUCAGAUUUGCUUUCUUAAAAACUGUCAUGCUUUCCAAAAAUAAAGCAGGACACAUUGUCGAUUUUCAAACCACGAAUCUCAAUUCCAAACAUUAUAAUAUAUAGCAAAGUUGGAUGUCGUGAACGCGAUAUUUUGCGAGCUUCCGAUAUUGGAUUCCAUCCAACAUAAGUUAGUUAACUCAUUCCCAUCAUUUAGGCUCACCAAUUAUCUCGUUCUAGAUAUUAGCAACAAAGCUGAGCAAACAGCGAUCAUGACAGGAAAACAACAUAGAGCCCACCUAGCAGCGCAAGAAAUUACGAAGCAAGUACUUCACGACUAUUUUCCCCAAAGCGAGCCACUUAGCGUCGGAAAUAGCCGGAAAUCGCAACACUUGUUCCAUGCAAAUAUACAACCGCCACCAAAAAACAAAACAGGUAUUAAGAAAAUCUCCUAUCACAUCAAAUUCCGCCAAAUUCUGUCGUGAAUCGAGGAUUCUUGAUACUGAUUUCUAACCCUAAUGCUACCAAACCGGAGGAGUGGAAUGGUGAAAUGAAUGGCGAAUGGGAACUCCUAUGGUGGAUAAUCCAGAAUAUAAAGGAGAGGGCAACCAAAACAAUUGGCCAAUCCCAAAUAAAAGAGAUUGGUAUUAACCUGAAAUUAAUAAUCAAAAAUUUAAUAUUCAUGAUAAACCACAUUGAGUUGGCGGCUGCCAGGGGCUAGGGUAAAAGAUAUACAAUCUGGUGAAAAUAUGACGUAUUAUAGAUGAAGAAGAUUAAGAAAAGAGUCACUACGAGUAUGAUGAGGAUGAUAACGAUGACAACGUCGAGUCAAAAAAACAAAUCGGAGGUUAAUGAUGAAUUUUAAUUAGCAUCCACAAAAUUUUAAACCAAUUCAGUUAUUCUUAUAAGUAUUAGUUUAUUAGUAGUAUUUGUUAAACCCAAAUACAAAAACAAUUUAAUGUGUUUAUUUAGAGA